rnacentral:rRNA from 1 species
UGAACGCUGGCGGAAUGCUUAACACAUGCAAGUCGUGCGGUAACACUUCGGGUGACGAGCGGCGGACGGGUGCGUAACGCGUGAGAAUCUACCUUUUAGUGGGGGACAACUCGGGGAAACUCGGGCUAAUACCGCAUGUGUCCUACGGGAUAAAGCAGGGGAUCUUCGGACCUUGCGCUAAAAGAUGAGCUCGCGUUAGAUUAGCUUGUUGGUGGGGUAAAAGCCUACCAAGGCAACGAUCUAUAGCUGGUCUGAGAGGAUGAUCAGCCACACUGGGACUGAGACACGGCCCAGACUCCUACGGGAGGCAGCAGUGGGGAAUAUUGGACAAUGGGGGCAACCCUGAUCCAGCAAUUCCGCGUGUGUGAAGAAGGCCCGAGGGUUGUAAAGCACUUUCAGUAGCCAAGAUGGGGUCUUACACUAAUAUUGUAAGAUCUUGACAUUAACUACAGAAGAAGCACCGG